UUUGGAAAUAUAAAAUCUAGUGAGCAAUACUAAGUAAUGAAAUAGAGAAGCUAAUAAGACAACUAAAAGUAUUUAAAAAACCACAAAUGGACAAGUUUUAUUAAAGUUUUAUCUUUUAAUUAAUUUAAGUGUUAUAUUAUGUACCUGAAAAUGAAUUUGAUAAUGGGGAAUGAAGCAUUUUAUGAAUAAUGUAAAAAAUAAGACAAGUGGAGUAUGAAAUAAUGGUUGGUUAAGUAACAUUACCUCAAGAACAGGAAACAGUAACUGAAACUAUGUUCUUCCACAUUUAAUCUUAAUAAGUUCAGCAGUUUGAAUGUUAAUGAGAUAUUGUUAUAAACAAACUGCAUUUGUAGAUUUUGGGAAGAAUUAUAUCUUUACAAUAACUAUUAUUAUUUACAAUUGUUGUGUUAAGGAAACAAUCACUAUUUUUAGUUUUUUAUUAGUUAAUUAUCUACAUAUAUAAAUAUGAAUACAUGUACAUUAGGUAGUAAUGCAUUUAAUUUGGUGCACCUGUGUGUGUUCAGUAGUAAUGUCUGUAUUGUUUAAUAAGUUGUUACAUAUGCUUAUUUUUCUAUGUAGACUGCAUUAUGUUAAGGAAGAUAUUUGGUGCCUUAUUUUAAUAAAAAAUAACCAUAA